GACGAACGCUGGCGGCGUGCCUAAUACAUGCAAGUAGAACGCACAGUUUAUACCGUAGCUUGCUACACCAUAGACUGUGAGUUGCGAACGGGUGAGUAACGCGUAGGUAACCUGCCUGGUAGCGGGGGAUAACUAUUGGAAACGAUAGCUAAUACCGCAUAAUAUUGAUUAUUGCAUGAUAAUUAAUUGAAAGGUGCAAUUGCACCACUACCAGAUGGACCUGCGUUGUAUUAGCUAGUAGGUGAGGUAACGGCGCACCUAGGCGACGAUACAUAGCCGACCUGAGAGGGUGAUCGGCCACACUGGGACUGAGACACGGCCCAGACUCCUACGGGAGGCAGCAGUAGGGAAUCUUCGGCAAUGGACGAAAGUCUGACCGAGCAACGCCGCGUGAGUGAAGAAGGUUUUCGGAUCGUAAAGCUCUGUUGUAAGAGAAGAACGGGUGUGAGAGUGGAAAGUUCACACUGUGACGGUAUCUUACCAGAAAGGGACGGCUAACUACGUG
rnacentral:rRNA from 1 species